rnacentral:rRNA from 1 species
AUUGAACGCUGGCGGCAGGCCUAACACAUGCAAGUCGAGCGGAUGAAGGGAGCUUGCUCCUGGAUUCAGCGGCGGACGGGUGAGUAAUGCCUAGGAAUCUGCCUGGUAGUGGGGGAUAACGUCCGGAAACGGGCGCUAAUACCGCAUACGUCCUGAGGGAGAAAGUGGGGGAUCUUCGGACCUCACGCUAUCAGAUGAGCCUAGGUCGGAUUAGCUAGUUGGUGGGGUAAAGGCCUACCAAGGCGACGAUCCGUAACUGGUCUGAGAGGAUGAUCAGUCACACUGGAACUGAGACACGGUCCAAACGCCUACGGGAGGCAGCAGUGGGGAAUAUUGGACGAUGGGCGAAAGCCUGAUCGAGCCAUGCCGCGUGUGUGAAGUAGGACUUCGGAUUGUAAAGCACUUUAAGUUGGGAGGAAGGUCAGUAAGUUAAUACCUUGCUGUUUUGACGUUACCAACAGAAUAAGCACCGGCUAACUUCGUG